rnacentral:tRNA from 1 species
UGAAAUUGGUAGACCGC